UGGGUAAUGACUGAAGUAAGUCCAAGCAA
rnacentral:piRNA from 1 species